AGCGCCCAAUGCGCGGGAUUCGAACCCGGGUCGUAGAGAUCGAAGAACAACGUUUUAAACCACUCAUCCAUCAACGC